rnacentral:rRNA from 1 species
UACGUAGGUGGCAAGCGUUGUCCGGAUUUAUUGGGUUUAAAGGGUGCGUAGGUGGCUAUCUAAGUCAGUGGUGAAAUAUCUCAGCUUAACUGAGAGGGUGCCAUUGAUACUGGAUAGCUUGAGUACAGAUGAGGUAGGCGGAAUUGACGGUGUAGCGGUGAAAAUGCAUAGAUAUCGUCAAGAACACCGAUAGCGAAGGCAGCUUACCAAGCUGUAACUGACACUGAGGCACGAAAGUGUGGGGAUCAAACAGG